rnacentral:rRNA from 1 species
CACGUAGGGUGCGAGCGUUGUCCGGAAUUAUUGGGCGUAAAGAGCUCGUAGGCGGUUUGUCACGUCUGCUGUGAAAUCCCGAGGCUCAACCUCGGGCCUGCAGUGGGUACGGGCAGACUGGAGUGCGGUAGGGGAGAAUGGAAUUCCUGGUGUAGCGGUGGAAUGCGCAGAUAUCAGGAGGAACACCGAUGGCGAAGGCAGUUCUCUGGGCCGUAACUGACGCUGAGGAGCGAAAGCCAGGGGAGCAAACGGG